rnacentral:rRNA from 1 species
UGAGACAGGUGCUGCAUGGCUGUCGUCAGCUCGUGUUGUGAAAUGUUGGGUUAAGUCCCGCAACGAGCGCAACCCUUAUCCUUUGUUGCCAGCGGCUAGGCCGGGAACUCAAAGGAGACUGCCAGUGAUAAACUGGAGGAAGGUGGGGAUGACGUCAAGUCAUCAUGGCCCUUACGAGUAGGGCUACACACGUGCUACAAUGGCGCAUACAAAGAGAAGCGACCUCGCGAGAGCAAGCGGACCUCAUAAAGUGCGUCGUAGUCCGGAUUGGAGUCUGCAACUCGACUCCAUGAAGUCGGAAUCGCUAGUAAUCGUAGAUCAGAAUGCUACGGUGAAUACGUUCCCGGGCCUUGUACACACCGCCCGUCACACCAUGGGAGUGGGUUGCAAAAGAAGU